UAGAAUGAAACUAAAAAUAGUGGUAAAAAAUAUUUAAUAGUAAACUUUACUUGGAAAUGGAAUUCCAAUCUUACAACAAAAAACUUUUGCAAUUAUCACAGCAUACAAAAAUACUUUAAAAAACUUAAAAUAAUAUCUUGAGAGAGAAUAGUAACAACAACGUAAUUCUCAUGUUUCAUAAUUCUCAUAAUUCUCAUGUUUCUCUAAAUAAAAAAUUAAAUAAACUUAAAAAAUCUCACUUGAUGGUAAGUGAUGAUGCAAUCUAAGAUGGAAACAACCUAACAUAUUACGAGGAUGAAAAUCUACACACUUUCUACACGACAUCGUACCGGAACGGUAGUCGCAUGGCGGUACGUCUUUGCCGGUAGGGUGGUAACAAGCCACGGCCGAAGCCGUCCACCAGCCAAAAUCAAGGUCAUGAAAUUAUUAAUUACUUCCCCACAACUUUUAAACGGUUCAACCGAUUUUCAUCAAACACGUCUAAGAACACUCGCCAUUGAUAGUGCUGUGGUUUUCGGGACGUCGUGGAUUCGAUUACCAGCAGGGUCAUUAUGUAACUCGGUGAACGCUUUAAAAUCACAGUCACGACAACAAAUGACAGCGAUUUUUCGUUUUUGCGAUCAUGUAACACACAUCUCCCACCGAAAUGACGUCAUCUUGGAUCGUUCUCUGUCACGGUCACUUGUAGGGAUUUAUCCAAGUUAUAACGCAGUUUUUACGUAUCGAUAGUCAGUUUAAGCGAUUAUGUAAGCAUAAUGAUCAUACAACUGGGUGACACAGAAGUUGUCAAAGUCAAUCGCUAUAGAAACUAAUACCGAGCAGUGUUUUAAUAAAGUUUACUUGACGCCUGUGAUUCAAUAAUUACAAAUAAAAGUACUUUUAGGAUUUUUUUGAAUUUUGUACUAUACCUUGUAAGUAAGGUAUUAGUUUGUAAGUCAAUAAAAUCAGAAUUAGAAAAGUUUUUCAUGUAAAAUAUGACGAAAGUUGAGAAUAUAUAGUAGGUACCUACCUACAUACUUAUUUCAUAAAGCAGAAUUACAGUUUUAGAGUUAGUUGAAGUGAAUUUAAUUAAUUGUGUUAUUUUUGUAGUGUUUACCGACAUUGCCAUGUACAAUACAAUGCAUGUAGCAUUUGUAUUGUACGCGGAAACGGAACGAAAAAGAUGUCUUUGUCGAGUUCAUUGCAAAACUUUCGUGUCGCGAUACCAGCAGGUUUUAGAAGAAAUACAAAGUCUUCGAACAACUGCUGUUCGCAAUGAAUUAGAGAUAAGUCUUGGCAGCUUUAAACUUUUAUGCCAAUGGAUCAUACAAAUGGCUUUGUGAUGGCUAAGGCAUCUUUUAGCAAAUGCCUACAUGAAGUCGCUGACGCUCCUGAAUACCCCAACUGUUUAAAAAAAAUGUGUUAAGUUCCCUUUGCAUUAAACACAAAAUCAUUAUAAAUAAAUUUAUGAAAAAAUUUGGAUUGCCCGGGUAUUAGGGCGCAUUGAUUGCACCCAUGUGACAAUAGUUCGGCCUACAAGCCAAGAGCUACUAGGAGGCUAACAAUUAGAAUUGAAUAAAAGCAUGGUGACCAAUGUUUGCAUGAUGACCCCCAUCUUGGGAGCUGCUCCUAGAUCCCAUGAAGAUAUGCACAACAUUGCUGUGUCAGAAAUACGGUGGAGCCUUGUAGUUGGGUGCAUAUUGUAAAAUGUUUCCUCACUCCAAAACCAUGAACUCUGGUUUCCUAAACCCUCAAGCUAUGCAGCCGAAGGAGGAGACUUAUCACAGGAGAAUCACUAAUAAUUUUGAAGAAGUGAAGAGCUUAACAAUGUUUCAACUAACACCUAAAGAAGCUUUCACUUGGCUGUUAGAUCAAGGGCUGGAUACAGAAAACAGUAAUCCUUGUGAUGGCAGUAUUGUCCAAGGAUUCCUCACUCAAAACCAUGAUAACAAGUUGCUAGAACCCUCAAGCUAUGCAGACAAAGGACUGGAUAUAUUUUUUCGUGACCAAGCCUUCUGUAUAAUUAUUUAUACUUAAACCAUACAAAGCACUAUCUAGCCCCAAAGUAGGCAUACAGAGCUUGUGUUGUGGGUACUAAGAUAGUUGAUAUUAUAAUAUUCAUUUACAUUUAUAUACUACCUAUAAAUACUUAUAUAAUGUAUAAAUACACACACACUGGAAAAAACCCAUGCUCUUCACACAAAUAUUUUCCAGGUGUGGGAAUCGAACCCAUGACCGUGGAUGCAGGAGCACUACUUACUGCGCCACGCGUAUAUGUUUUUAUUUUGAAGCAAAUUAUUAAAGUUGAUAAUUCAAAUUGUAGUCAUGUUUUUAAUUAAUCUAUAAUUAAUUUUUAAUUUACAUUUUUGUUAAAUAUUUACCUAUACUUCAGUCUAUUUUUGUUAGAGGGGGUACCUAUAUGUGUAAGUAGGGUCGUUUCUUGAUUAAAUUAAACUAAAGAAUGAAAGAUAUAUAUUAUAACAAAAUUUGUCAACAACAAUAUAUCAAGUCUGAAUAAAAAAUACCAACACAAGUAAA